rnacentral:rRNA from 1 species
UGGGGAAUAUUGGACAAUGGGGGCAACCCUGAUCCAGCAAUGCCGCGUGUGUGAAGAAGGUCUUCGGAUUGUAAAGCACUUUCGACGGGGACGAUGAUGACGGUACCCGUAGAAGAAGCCCCGGCUAACUUCGUGCCAGCAGCCGCGGUAAUACGAAGGGGGCUAGCGUUGCUCGGAAUGACUGGGCGUAAAGGGCGUGUAGGCGGUUUACACAGUCAGAUGUGAAAUCCCCGGGCUUAACCUGGGAGCUGCAUUUGAUACGUGUAGACUAGAGUGUGAGAGAGGGUUGUGGAAUUCCCAGUGUAGAGGUGAAAUUCGUAGAUAUUGGGAAGAACACCGGUGGCGAAGGCGGCAACCUGGCUCAUGACUGACGCUGAGGCGCGAAAAGCGUGGGGAGCAAACAGGAUUAGAUACCCUGGUAGUCCACGCUGUAAACGAUGUGUGCUAGAUGUUGGGUAACUUUGUUAUUCAGUGUCGCAGUUAACGCGUUAAGCACACCGCCUGGGGAGUAC